GGGUUAAGUCCCGUAACGAGCGCAACCCUUGUCCUUAGUUACCAGCACGUUAUGGUGGGCACUCUAAGGAGACUGCCGGUGACAAACCGGAGGAAGUGGGGAUGACGUCAAGUCAUCAUGGCCCUUACGGCCUGGGCUACACACGUGCUACAAUGGUCGGUACAAAGGGUUGCCAAGCCGCGAGGUGGAGCUAAUCCCAUAAAACCGAUCGUAGUCCGGAUCGCAGUCUGCAACUCGACUGCGUGAAGUCGGAAUCGCUAGUAAUCGUGAAUCAGAAUGUCACGGUGAAUACGUUCCCGGGCCUU
rnacentral:rRNA from 1 species